ensembl:snoRNA
UGGAUAAAUGAUGAUGACUGGUGGCAUAUGAGUCUUGAUAACGAAUACUACAGAUCUGGAAUUCUCAGGUCCAA